ensembl:ncRNA lncRNA:CR43992 long non-coding RNA:CR43992
AUAUUCCUUCUUGGUUGCAUGUGCCACCACACAAAGGAAAGCGAGCCACAAAACCUCGUCCUUGCCGCCAUUUACAUUUGAAAGAGCCUGCGAAAGCCUGAAGCAUCUCCCAAUCGAGUCUAACCAAGUCCUUGCAUAACUUUCCGGAUUUGAGAACGAGGAAUCCACAGAAAUCCCCACACAUCCAAAGCCCAACGAAACCCCAUAAUGCUGGCCCAUAAUCAUUAUCAUUAACCUGAUGGGGAAGACAGUUUUUUGCUGCUUUGCUGGGCGAAAAAGAAGUCAUGAAACCACAGGAAUUGUUACAUGAGGCGCAAACAAAACAGUUUAAUUAAAAUUAUUAUUGUAAUUUAAUGGAAUGUGAGGAAUUAUUAUUUUUAUACGGGUCU